rnacentral:lncRNA from 1 species
CAGAUCACACAACAAGUAUGAGAUAUUAUAUUCAAGAUCGCAGACAUGAAUAAGACAUUCUAUUCUAGAACAUAUAGCAAGAACAAAUCAUCUUAUCCCAUAUCACAAAACAAGGAUAAGAAAUCUUAUUCAAGAUCACACAGCAUGAAUAGGACACUCUCAUCGUAUAGGAUACAAAAGAUCAUCCCAAUUCAUCACUACAAGUUUACAUCAAAUCUUGUGCAUUUCUUAACUAUACAUCAUCUUAUCGUUUCAUUCUAGUUCAUAUGAAAGUCC